rnacentral:piRNA from 1 species
UACAGCCUAUCCUUUACCAAGUAAAGAAC